UGCUGGACAGUGACAACAAUCAACCAGGGUCCUCUUUUUACGUCUGAGCACAAGACAUGCAAGAAAUAGAUACCCCCAUUGGAGUUGUACAAAAGCCAAGAGAACCAGAAAGAAGACAGCCGGCAGAGACUACGAGUAAACAAAAGUCAUGAAGUGGGGAGACAACAAGUCAGCAGUCAGAGCCACAGCCAAGUGAAGCCACAUCCUGAGAAUCGUGACAAUACUAGCACUUCUUUUUCCUGGCAUACCAUUUUCAUCGAUGUAGGCGAAACGUCUCUUUUUGUGUUGCUUCUUCCCAUUUUAACAUCUUGAAGUGUGUCUAACCAUCAAUGGUGUCUGAAUGAUUGCUUUUGGUGAGGCGGCCGUGGCUGACACUGCCUGCAGAUGCACAAGAGUGACACAGGAAACAAAAAUACCAAUGCCUGAGACCAGAAGUGUCAAAAGGAAUUUUGAAGUGAUAAGAAAGAAGCAUAUCAUAGGUUUCAUGGGGUUCUUUACCUCACCACGCAGCCGACCCCACGCUCGUUGUACCGAACCACCCUGGCCUCAUCUCUGUUCCUCGUUGUAGUGAGUUGAAUUGGUGUGAAAAGUUACUUCUCACGAGGUUCCCCGUCAUGAGUAGGACUGGACAUGGAAAGGCAGGUCCACCUGCCAGGAUCUCAGAAUGUGGCUUUCUUUGGAGCCAGGAUCUUUGUAGAUGUAAUGAAGGAAUUGAUUGGAGAGCCAGGUAAAAAAAAGUGCUCUGAAAACAUGUAAGAAAUUCAAGAACUGUCUACUCUCCUUCACUGACUGCCAUUCAACUGGGACUGGGAAUCUGAAUAUCUGCAUUUCUCAUCUGUGUCCAAGUCAGAAUGUCAAAGCAAGCCUCGUCUUGCUCAAGAGUCAAGGAGUGACAGCAGCUGGAAAUGAAAGCAUAACAGAAACUUGGACCGAUCACAGCCUCAAACCAGUACAUCUCCUUUCCACCCCAGAGCUGGGAACUGAAACUAUUCCAUAGGAAGUCCUUUCUUCCCACCUCUAUGCAAAAAUCCACAUCGAACCUGAUUCCUUUUUAAAUACCCAAAUAGUCA